rnacentral:rRNA from 1 species
AGCGAACGUUUGCGGCGGGCUUAACACAUGCAAGUCGAACGAGAAUCCCUUCGGGGAGGAAAGUGGCGCACGGGUGCGUAACACGUGGAUAACCAACCCAUUAGUUUGGGACAACACCGGGAAACUGGUGCUAAUACCAGAUGUGUCGCAGCUGUCUUCAGGCGGUUGCGAGAAAGGCCCGCAAGGGUCGCCAACGGACGGGUCCGCGUCCCAUCAGCUAGUUGGUGAGGUAAUGGCUCACCAAGGCAAAGACGGGUAGCUGGUCUGAGAGGAUGAUCAGCCACACUGGAACUGAGACACGGUCCAGACUCCUACGGGAGGCAGCAGUGGGGAAUAUUGCGCAAUGGGCGAAAGCCUGACGCAGCCACGCCGCGUGAGCGAUGAAGGUCUUCGGAUCGUAAAGCUCUGUGGGGGGAGAAGAAGAAAGCCGGUGAAGAGCCGGCCCUGACGGUAUCCCCUUAGCAAGCACCGGCUAACUCCGUGCCAG